CAGUCGAGCGGAACGAGUUAUCUGAACCUUCGGGGAACGAUAACGGCGUCGAGCGGCGGACGGGUGAGUAAUGCCUAGGAAAUUGCCCUGGUGUGGGGGAUAACCAUUGGAAACGAUGGCUAAUACCGCAUAAUACCUACGGGUCAAAGAGGGGGACCUUCGGGCCUCUCGCGUCAGGAUAUGCCUAGGUGGGAUUAGCUAGUUGGUGAGGUAAUGGCUCACCAAGGCGACGAUCCCUAGCUGGUCUGAGAGGAUGAUCAGCCACACUGGAACUGAGACACGGUCCAGACUCCUACGGGAGGCAGCAGUGGGGAAUAUUGCACAAUGGGCGCAAGCCUGAUGCAGCCAUGCCGCGUGUGUGAAGAAGGCCUUCGGGUUGUAAAGCACUUUCAGUCGUGAGGAAGGUAGUGUAGUUAAUAGCUGCAUUAUUUGACGUUAGCGACAGAAGAAGCACCGGCUAACUCCGUGCCAGCA
rnacentral:rRNA from 1 species